ACAAGGCAGAGAUGGGUGUUCAUUUGGGGUGGGGAGGAGUAGGAGUGUCAGCAGUGUGCCCUGGGCUUCUUCAUGCUUCCACUUUAACGGCUAUUGUUCUGUUUACUUGGAACUAGAGAGGAAGUUGAAACUAGAAUCUUGCAGGUUGUUUGUUUUUACUGCUGAACCUGACUUUACUUGACACAUUUCUCCUUACUCCAGGGGGACACUGAAAUUCACAACAAAAGAAUGAACACAGUAAUGGGAGGGAGGCAGAGAGCUGGUGGGGCAGGAUCUCAAUUCCCUUCUCGUUUGCAUGCCUGGAACACUCUUCUCAGGCAGAACUUUCCAAACAGGAUUGAUUUCAGAUGGAGUCUCUUGAUGAGCUAGAUGCUUGCUGUUUGGGCUAAGAUGGCUUCCAAGGAAUGUGUGGUCUGCUAGUCUCUGCCUUUCGGUACUGAGAUUAUCAGUCUGUGCAGCCAUGCCUGGCUCUUCAUGUGGGUUCAUGAGAAUACAAACUCAGAGUCCUGAUUUUAUUCUGGGAAGCCUUGUUGGAGUAUACAUGGUUAAUAUGCCAGCCAUCGAGACAAGUGAAUUUCUAGACAUUGAUUUCCUGGGGGGCAAAGAGAUGACUCAGAGGACACUGGCUGUUCUUUCAGAGGACCCAGCACCGCAUGGCAGCUAACAACUGCAUGUAACUUUAGUCCUACGAGAUAUGACACCAGAUUCUCGCCUUUGUGGGAACUAGGCAUGCAUGUUAUGUAUAGAUCUACAUAUUAAAAAG
rnacentral:sRNA from 1 species